AUUGAACGCUAGCGGGAUGCUUUACACAUGCAAGUCGAACGAGUGGCGGACGGGUGUGUAAUAUAUCGGAACGUGCCCAGUAGCGGGGGAUAACUACGCGAAAGAGUGGCUAAUACAGCAUACUAUUGGAGCGGCCGAUAUCGGAUGAGCUAGUGGGUGGGGGAAAGGCGCACCAAGGCAACGAUCCGUAGAUUGUCUGAGAGGACGAUAAGCACCACUGGGACUGAGACACGGCCCAGACUCCUAAGUGCGGCAGCAGUGGGGAAUUUUGGACAAUGGGGGAAACCCUGAUCCAUCCAUCCCGCGUGUAUGAGAAGGCCUUCGGGUUGUAAAGUACUUUUGGCAGGGAAGCGGUAUCUGCAGAAUAAGCACCGGCUAACUACGUGCCAGCAGCCGCGGUAAUUC
rnacentral:rRNA from 1 species